rnacentral:rRNA from 1 species
UGCCAGCCGCCGCGGUAAUACGGAGAGUGCGAGCGUUAAUCGGAAUUACUGGGCGUAAAGCGCGCGUAGGCGGUUUGUUAAGUCAGCUGUGAAAGCCCUGGGCUCAACCUGGGAACUGCAGUUGAUACUGGCCGACUAGAGUACGAGAGAGGGAGGUAGAAUUCCACGUGUAGCGGUGAAAUGCGUAGAUAUGUGGAGGAAUACCAGUGGCGAAGGCGUCUAUCUGGACUAAUACUGACACUGAGGUGCGAAAGCGUGGGUAGCGAACAGGAUUAGAUA